rnacentral:tRNA from 1 species
GUUCUCGUAGUUCAGUGGAUAGAACAAGGGACUCCUAAGCCCUAGACACAGGUUCGAUUCCUGUCGAGAACA